UUGAGAUAGACGCCGUGAUAACUCUAACAACAAAAGUCAAAAGAGAAAAAGUGAUGGUUGAUGAUCUUUCUGUUAUUAGGGGCCUACUAUUACUAAUCAUUGUAAUCCCAGAGAGCUAAACAAUGACUUCAAAUCAGCAAAUAUUGCAGAAAGUUAUGAGAAACAACUGACAAAGAUUUCAUAUUUAAAGCUAAUGUUCUAUUUUACAUAAAGUUUCCUUGUUGAGGAUGAGCCAGUUAAUUUUGGAAUUACUCAAGACAUUGCCAGUAAGACUGGGACUGUUACCUUUGAUUAUGAAUUUGGUACAUGCCUUUUUGAAAUAAAACCAACAAGCAGUGGUUUGAGUGAGGGGCUGUUUACUAUAACCAACAAUGAAGCAAUAAUAGGAUAUAAAACAGUGCCAUUUAAAACUGGUAAAAUCAAUGUGAUGAAACUAAAGUCUAAAGAAGAAGAGAUCGUUAGUCAUUACAUUGUUGAAUUAACCAAAGAACAGGGACUGGAUUUAAAGACUAUUUUUAAGAAACCUUCUGUUUGAUUUCUUUUAUACAGAAUCUUAAGCUUUGUAAUUUUCUGAUACAUUUUCAAAUAGAUUGUAUUAGUAAUUGUAUUGCUAUUGUAUUUCAUUUCAUAAAAGUAGAAUUAUUUUACAUUAGCACAACAUUAAUUGAUUGGAUAUGAAGCCCUCAGCUUCAAAUUGUUUUAAACUCAUUAAAAAAAAAUAGGUACAAUUUACAUAACUUUAUUUUUAAAUUGAUAAAAUUGAUUUCUAAUCUCUCGAGUUCAAACCCUCUGGCAGAUAUGGCUCGCUCCCUUCCAACACUAAAAAUUAAGAACGAAGAAGAAGAGAAGAUUUCUAAUUAACAUAAAAUUAGUUUAGUUUAAAAAUAUUACAAUCUUUUUCAUACCUUAUUGGUCUAAUUAGUUGUUUGUUUUUUUUUUGGUGUAAAGUUUAGAAACUACCAACAAGUAAAAAUGGAUUUGUGAGUAAAAAAUAUUGGAUGUUAGAUUCUUUUCUUUUGUGAUUAGUUUGCUAAAAAGAAUUAUUAUUUAAAAGGAGUAAGUAACAGGUAAUCACAGUAGGUAUGACAACUACAUAUUUAUUCAUAAUGUUAGAUUUAGUACCUGUAUUGCAAUAAAAAUGUGUUUGUUAUUGUAUUUGGCACAUCACUUUAUUUGGUUAUGGAGAGCUUUUAAACAAUGUAUUUGUUUGUAAUAAAUUAUUCAGUUUUCAAAAACGUUUUCAUUAUAACUUUGUUCAGUUUUAUAUUGUUUUUGAGAUUGAUCAAUUAUUCUUGAUGGGCUGACACUCAGAGAUUUAUUUAUUUAAUUAACAUAUUUUCAUCCUUUUGAAUUGAUUUAUACUUUACAGUUACUUUUCUAUCUC